UUGUAGCUCAAAGGAUAGAGUAUCUGUCUCCUAUUUAUUGUACACAAGAUAACAGAAGAUUGUGGGUUCGAUUCCCACCUU
rnacentral:tRNA from 14 species